UGUUGCUAUGGUGAAAUUGGUAAACACACAAGCUUGAGGGGCUUGCGGCUUAGCCUUCUCGGUUCGAGUCCGAGUAGUAAUAA
rnacentral:tRNA from 1 species